UUUCAAAUUAUAGUGUAUUUAAGAUCAUCAAGUAUGUAUUACCGUAUAUCUAAGACAAGUGAGUAUUUACAAAUUAAUAAACAUGAUUCUCUAUUUUUCUCUCUAAAAUAAACAUUUAUCGUAAUUUUUGAUAGAAUAGAAUGUUUAAUAUUUGAAAAUAUAUUUUACGCGCGUUUAUCUGCAUAUGCUUUUCUCAUGUCUAAAUAUCCCGCUAGAUGACGUUCGCAUACCUUUAACGACAUACUUGUUUAACGACGAGAGGUAAUGUUAAAAAUUUGUUAACAAAUUUCAAAAUACUACUCUAAGAUUUGGACGGAUGUUUCCUUAGACCAUUAUCAGUCUUUUUGUUAAAAUGUAAGAAGUUCCAAGCUUCAAACUAAUCGUACAUUACUGACACGUGAGUAUGUUACUUAUGUGUUUAUAAUAUUUAAUA